rnacentral:misc_RNA from 1 species
CUUCAACUGAUCUUCCUGCUUCGUCACCUGCUGUUCAAUCACAGUUCAAUGAUCGUGUAGGUUAUGGUGGACCUGGAGGAGGUUCCCGUGGGGCUGGUGCUCCUAGACCUGAUUAUGGGCGUCCAGGAUAUGUUUCUGGUGUUCGAACUGGUGGCAGCAGUGUUGGUGGUGGUUGGAACAAUAGAAGUGGUGGUUGGGACCGUGGGAGGGAGCGUGAGGUGAAUCCAUUUGGCAAUGAUGAUGGUGAAGUGGAGAGCACAUUUGGUGAACAAGAAAAUACAGGCAUUAACUUUGAUGCGUAUGAGGAUAUUCCGGUGGAGACAAGUGGGA